CAGCAGUAGCCGCGGGAACACAGAGGGUGCGAGCGUUAAUCGGAUUUACUGGGCGUAAAGCGUGCGUAGGCGGCUUCUUAAGUCGGAUGUGAAAUCCCUGAGCUUAACUUAGGAAUUGCAUUCGAUACUGGGAAGCUAGAGUAUGGGAGAGGAUGGUAGAAUUCCAGGUGUAGCGGUGAAAUGCGUAGAGAUCUGGAGGAAUACCGAUGGCGAAGGCAGCCAUCUGGCCUAAUACUGACGCUGAGGUACGAAAGCAUGGGGAGCAAACAGGAUUAGAUACCCGAGUAGUCCCUGUCUCUUAUAC
rnacentral:rRNA from 1 species